rnacentral:lncRNA from 1 species
CAUUGCCGGUUGUGGAAUGCUCAAUUGUGCUGCCAUGGCCCCAAGCACCACCGCUAGUUAAGACUACUGUGUUUCAGGAAAGAGGGGAGAACAAAGAAUCCCCUAUUUUGCCAAGAAAAGAGGGAGAAGAAAGAAAUAAAGAAAAUAAAGAAAGAAAAGAAAAAGAAAAGGAAGGAAAAAAGAUAGUUUCUCUUUCUUUCCUC